rnacentral:rRNA from 1 species
GACGAACGCUGGCGGCGUGCUUAACACAUGCAAGUCGAGCGGUAAGGCCCUUUCGGGGGUACGACGAGCGGCGAACGGGUAGAGUAACACGUGGGUGACCUGCCCUCAGCUCUGGGAUAAGCCUGGGAAACCGGGUCUAAUACUGGAUAUGACUCCAUGACGCAUGUUGGUGGGGUGGAAAGCCUUGUGCGGCUGAGGAUGGGCCCGCGGCCUAUCAGCUUGUUGGUGGGGUGAGGCCUACCAAGGCGACGACGGGUAGCCGGCCUGAGAGGG